AGGCUUCUCAUUGCGGUGGCUUCUCUUGCUGCGGAGCACGGGCUCUAGGCGUGCAGGCUUCAGUAGUUGUGGCACGUGGGCUCAGUAGUUGUGGCAUGCGGGCUCAGUAGUUGUGGCACACAGGCUUGGUUGCUCUGCGGCAUGUGGGAUCUUCCCGGAUCAGGGCUCGAACCCGUGUCCCCUGCAUUGGCAGGCGGAUUGUUAACCACUGCGCCACCAGGGAAGUCCCUGUGGGGAUUUCUUACACAGAAUAGAAAAUCAUUACGGGGUCAGGGAGGGGGGGUGUUGUAUUGUUAGCUAUAGUGACUAUCUGAAAUAUUUCAUAAUUGAAAUUAAAAGGUUAUGAAAGAUCCCCAUGGCUGAAGAGACAGAUUGCAGAGCACGAGCUGGAGGCCAGCGUGCUGCUCUGUGGGUGAGGGUGGGGCUGGGCAGUGUAAGGGGGCUCAGGGAAUGUGUAGAAACGUCCCCUGCAUCCCUAAAUUCUGAGGAAGGGGAGGGGCUGUCCCAGCGUCCCCUCCAUGCCUGGGAAACCUGGAUCACAGCCCUCCCCCCAGGUCAGCACAGCCCAAUCCUGGGGGAGGAGCAGGGAGAGGAAUAAGGACGGCGUUUUCCCAGGAUCCCCUAGGGAGCCCUGCCGUGUGGGCUGGGGGGACAGAUGGAGUGGUAGGAGGAGGCCGCUGGGCUGGGUCCACCACGUCCGUCCCCUGGGAGAAGACCCCCGCCCCCGCUCCAGCCUGCACGCUGGGGGAGCCAUCCCAGGGAGCGAGAGCCCCAGCCCUGCCUGUCCUCAGCGUCCCCAGCUGUACAGCAGGAUGAUCUGAGGGCACCCUGCCCGCUUGGGGGCAGGAUGGGAGGAAGUGCUGAAAGCACCUGCUGAACAGCCAGGGCCGUCCCCUUGGCCCUCCCAUCCCUGGCAGCCUUAGGUGCUGUGGGGAAGGAAGAACAAGGAGGUCCCCAAACACCCUGGGCUUCUAGGAGUGGAGACAGGCAUCGGGGCUCAGUCUGAAGCCCACUGAGCUGAAAUGGCAUUAGAAGGCGAUCUCCUUGUUGGGUGGGCUCUCCAAGGACUGAGGACCCUUUGCCUUCCACAUAUUAUCCUUGUAACAACCCUGCAAAGUGUGGUCUUAUUUUACUGGUGAGGAGUCAGGAUUCAGAGAGGCUAAGCCACUUGCUCAAGGCUGCACAGCAAGAGAGAGGCAGCUCUGUCUGCCCCGCAGCCAGGCCUUGUCCGUCGGUGACAUUGGUUAGGAACUGGGGAACCCUGAGGGGCUGAGGGGAGGGAGACUUCAGAUAAGGCUUCCUCUCGGAUCUUUGGCUGGGGUUUUGAAAGGUGAAGAGAAGUUCUCCCGGCAGAUCUGAAGGGGAGAACAUCCCAGGGAGAGAGACCAACCAGGAACAGGGUAGAGAAAAGAAAAAAGGUUUUGUGAAUGAUUACUUCCUGCAUUACAAAAGUGGCACAUAACACCUGAAAAUAUUAGCCCAAGUUUAUAAAGUGAAAAGUACCCUCUCACCACCCUGGUCUCUCAUACUUCCCGGAAGUAACUGCUGUUAUUCAUUAGGCAUAUGUGUUCCCGGGUUUUUUUCUAUAUGUACACAAACAUUUUUAAAACAGAAAGUCAUGCGUUAUAUAUUGUUCUGCAGCUUGCUUUUUUUUCCCCCAAAGAACCCUGCAGUUUAGCUUUUAUUUCUAGUGUUUCUGUGAAGUGCGCCUGAGGAGAGCUUGGAAUUUCAAUCAGCAUUCCCACAUACGGCACAUGCCAGCGGCUGUUUCUACUACCUGCAGGCCUUUUCCAUUUUUCUGAGAGGAGAGGUAAAAAGUGGUACCUCCUUGCAAAAUGUGCAUGUACUUGAUUCUUCCUGAGGUUGAGCUCCUGUCCAAAUGUUUAUCAAGUGUUUAUUUAUGUCUAUUAGGAAGGACCUGUCUGUGUAUCCUUUGCCUGGUUUUCUCUUUUGUGUGUGUGUGUGUGUGUGUGUGUGUGUGUGUGUCUUUUUAUUAUGUACUGCAUUUUUGUAUUUUGAGUUUUUGCAUGUUUGCAUAAUUGCAAAAUUAUCUCCCAUUUUGCAAUGAUUAUUUUUAAAUAUUACUUUUUAUUAUUAAAGCUAUUAAACCUCGUUAAAGAAAACCUGGAAAAUGGGGAGAAGAAGGAGAAAUCAUCUAUCACAGAGCUGUCACCAUUUGUUAGCAUUUGGUGACAGUUCUUUUCCCAGAUGCUGCAAUGACUGUUGUCAUCGUGUUAGACACUCGUAGCCCGUGACUUGGCUCUAAGAGCGUAACCUUCAGGAGGCAUUUUAAAGGCUUUCUAGUGGAUGUCCGGUAGUUCCCUCACCUCUCUCCUUUUUUUAUUGUGGUAAAAUACACGUAACGUAAAAUUUACUAUUUUAACCAUUUUAAAGUGCCCACUUCAGUGGCAUUAAGUACAUUCACACUGUUGUACAGCCAUCACCACCAUCAUCUCCAGAACCUUUUCAUCUUCCCAAACUGAAACUCUAUCCCCAUCAAACACUAGCUCCCCAUACCCCCUCUCCCUGUCUCUAUGAAUCUCAGUGCUCUUGGGACCUCAGAUAAGUGGGAUCAUACAGUAUUUGUCUCUUUGUCACUGACUCGUUUCACUGCGCAUAAUGUCCUUAAGGUUCAUCCAUGUUGUAGCAGGUGUCAGAAUUUCCUUUGUUUUUAAGGCUGAAUAAUAUUCCAUCGUAUGGAUGGACCACAUCUUCUUUAUCUGUUCUUCUGUUGAUGGACACUUGGGUUGCUUCCACCUUUUGGCUACUGUGAACAGUGCUGCUGUGAACAGAGGUGCAAAUACAUGCUCAAGUCCCUGCUUUAGGUCUUCUGUGAAUGUCCUCUCAUCAUGCCCUUUUUCUGAGUAUUUAGGUUGUGUCCAAUCUCUCCGUUUUGUAAAUAAUGAUGUCCUGAACAUCUCUGUGUCAGAGCUUCUUGCUAAAGGUAUUUGGAAGAUUACUCAGCAUUCAAGUCUCGGAAUUGGGAUUGUGAUCUCAGAGCUCAUUUCAAACGCAUGGUCCCAGGCGUUACCCCACCACUCCCUCCCUGCUCCAGAAGCUUUGGCAUCUUGUGUGUUCAACAACUUUUCCUUUUUUCUCUUUGGUUCCUAGAAAGGACAAACUUAACCUUGAGGUUUGCAGUGUUCCUUUGUCAUUUUAUCUGUCAGGGAACCAACCUGGGUGAUCCAGCUGUUUUUCCAGAUAAAGUUUGGAAUCGUUUCGUCAUUUUGCCUAAAAGCAAAACAAAGCCAGUGGCCUUCUGAUGUGCUGACCGUGCUGUCAGCACAGGACAGUCCUGUGGUUCGUCGUCUUCCCUUCGUCCCAGGUGUUUGGGAAGCACCUACCGCCAACCCAUGAAUGACUGGAGACGCGAGAGGGACGAGACGAUCGCUGCCCUGCUCUUCUGGACCUGAGCACCCUCCGCGAUGCCUGGCCUGGGCUCCUCCAAUAACACUGGUCCGCAGAAGGAAAGAACCCCGGCCUGGGAAUCUGCGCGGGACCGCCCGUGAUUGUCUCUGCCCUCGGCGCCCGGCCGCGGCCCCUCUGGAUUGGCUCAGCCCGGCCUGGGUUCAGCGCUUUCAGACAGGGAGCCAG